CGGUAAUACGUAGGGUGCAAGCGUUAAUCGGAAUUACUGGGCGUAAAGCGUGCGCAGGCGGUUUUGUAAGUCUGACGUGAAAUCCCCGGGCUUAACCUGGGAAUUGCGUUGGAGACUGCAAGGCUAGAAUCUGGCAGAGGGGGGUAGAAUUCCACGUGUAGCAAUGAAAUGCGUAGAGAUGUGGAGGAACACCGAUGGCGAAGGCAGCCCCCUGGGUCAAGAUUGACGCUCAUGCACGAAAGCGUGGGGAGCAAACAGGAUUAGAUACCCUGGUAGUCCACGCCCUAAACGAUGUCUACUAGUUGUCGGGUCUUAAUUGACUUGGUAACGCAGCUAACGCGUGAAGUAGACCGCCUGGGGAGUACGGUCGCAAGAUUAAA
rnacentral:rRNA from 1 species